AACGAACGCUGGCGGCAUGCCUAACACAUGCAAGUCGAACGAGACCUUCGGGUCUAGUGGCGCACGGGUGCGUAACGCGUGGGAACCUGCCCUUAGGUUCGGAAUAACUCCCCGAAAGGGGUGCUAAUACCGGAUAAUGUCUUCGGACCAAAGAUUUAUCGCCUUUGGAUGGGCCCGCGUUGGAUUAGCUAGUUGGUAGGGUAAAAGCCUACCAAGGCGACGAUCCAUAGCUGGUCUGAGAGGAUGAUCAGCCACACUGGGGCUGAGACACGGCCCAGACUCCUACGGGAGGCAGCAGUGGGGAAUAUUGGACAAUGGGCGAAAGCAUGAUCCAGCAAUGCCGCGUGAGUGAUGAAGGCCUUAGGGUUGUAAAGCUCUUUUACCCGGGAUGAUAAUGACAGUACCGGGAGAAUAAGCUCCGGCUAACUCCGUG
rnacentral:rRNA from 1 species